rnacentral:rRNA from 1 species
UGAAACAUAACAUAUCACCCUGCAGCCCCAGACUGAUUGCCCACUGAAGCUAAGCAGGGUUGAGCCUGGUCAGUACCUGGAUGGGAGACCUCCUGGGAAAACUAGGUUGCUGUUGGAA